GGACGUCAGGAAGAGCGUGGGGUUCUCCCGUGCCACGGCCUGCCUGGGUCCCCGUGUCUUCCCCCAGCCGAGGCGGUGGGCUGGCGAACCACGGCCGGCCCUUCUGAACUUUGGCGCCCCACUGCCGGAAGCAUGACAGCCUCUUCAGAUAAUCCACAGCCUCUGACUGCUAGUUUGGCCUCAUGCAUUCCUGCUGUGUCUCUGAAGGGGACUCCUUGCCACAUGUCGCUGCCCACAAUCGAGAAAGAAGACGUUUAAAGUUGAUGAAAAGCCAGCCCUGAGCCUUCCUUCUCUUACAGACAUUGCAGUCAGCUGGCAGAUGACACAGCCAAGCCCACUGCUGCCAUCCUGAAGGCGAGGAGGGUAUUUCCAAAGAAGUCCAAAGGCUUAUAGGAAACUGGGAUCCUGACCUUGCCUUCCUUCCACAUUCAGUUCAUCUUCAGCUAGUCUGAAAGCUUCUCUUCAGAUUUGUGGGCAUUUGCAGCACGCAGUCAGCGAGUGCAUCCAGGGCAGCCGAGGCACCUGGAACACCACGGUGCCGGCACCGUCCUUUGCCGGCGUCUCGGGGACAAAAUCGGCCCGGGAGAUGGCCCCACUGGUGCUGAGCCAGUUCAGCGGGCUCACCACGAUGGCGACGAGGAAACAAGAUUCCAAAGAGGUUUCCAUUCUUCGAUGAAGGAUACAUGUUUCUUCCGUAUUUUUCCACAGUAAAAUUGAGUUUAUUCUAAGUUAUAUCUGAGAGUAAAAACAAAACACAAUUCUUUCAGAAUGUGAUUUCCUGGAUAUGUGGCAAAACCUGAAGUAAGACCAGAUUAUACUAUGUUGUCUGUGUGCCCAGUUAAAGAAUGUUCAACAUCACAACUUAGAAACAGUAUCAGAGAGCAUGGCCACAAACAGCAUGCAGGGCACAGCUUUAGAGUUCUCAGAGACACUUUUUAGGUCAGUAAUUAGAUGAAUCUAGAAGCUCUUCUGUCGUUUUUGUAAAUAAUACCAUGACACUCAUUCUCUCUGUCCUUUGGUAGUCACUAGUUAUGUUCCAGACAGAAUGGUCUUAGUCUUUUUUGAAGUGUAUCAGUUUCAUUCCACAGUCUUCCUUAGCCAAUCCUCUUCUGCCUUUUCCCCAUAAUCCUAUUCUCCUUUAAAUAGGGUGAUGAUAAAUUUUGGCUUGUUCCAGUUUUGAAAUAAUCCAGUUGUUCUGGAAUAGCUGUUCUAGUUGGGCAAUGAAUUAAGAUUGUCCUGCCUUUAAGCUUCACCUCAUUUUUUACCUCAAUUAGAUAUGGUCACUUUGUUCAUAUUAUACUAUUGUAACACAAUUAUAAAUAUUUUAAAAAUCCUUGAAACAACUUGGGAGCAAGUUUUGUGUCUUACUCAUCGUUGUAUUCUCAGAAUCUAGAACACUUCUCCACAUAUGUUAAUGCUUAAAAAGUACUUAUUGAACGAAUAAAUGAAUAAAUGAAUAUGUGAAAAUUAAGGAA
rnacentral:lncRNA from 1 species